GUCUACAGCCAUGCCACCCUGAACAUGCCCAAUCUCGUCUGAUCUUGGAAGCUAAGCAGGGUUGGGCCUGGUUAUUACUUGGAUGGGAGACAACCUAGGAAUAUCAAGUGCUGUAGGCA
rnacentral:rRNA from 1 species